UGCCAGCCGCCGCGGUAAUACGAAGGGGGUUAGCGUUGUUCGGAAUUACUGGGCGUAAAGCGCACGUAGGCGGACUGGAAAGUUGGGGGUGAAAUCCCAGGGCUCAACCCUGGAACUGCCUCCAAAACUAUCAGUCUAGAGUUCGAGAGAGGUGAGUGGAAUUCCGAGUGUAGAGGUGAAAUUCGUAGAUAUUCGGAGGAACACCAGCGGCGAAGGCGACCACCUGGUACAGUAUUGACGCUGAGAUGCGAAAGCGUGGGGAGCAAACAGGAUUAGAUA
rnacentral:rRNA from 1 species